rnacentral:lncRNA from 1 species
GAGCGCCCGGCUACAGUGCCUGGAACAUCUCCUGAGCUGCCCAUGGCACCCAGUGGUGCCAGGGGAUGCUGAGUGCUCCCCGGUGACUGGGACCACCUUGUGGUGCCCCUGCUGGCAUAACCCACUCCCUGACAGUGCCCUGGGGCCAGGCCUUUUGCCAGCAGUGAUCAGGUGAGUCCCAUAACCCCAGGUUGCUCCACGCUUUGGGGGGAGGCUGCUUGCCCAGCGUGGGCUCCUGCACCUGCAUCCCCAGGGCAUCCUUUGUAGAAUCGCCUUCGGGCAUGCUGAACUCUUCUUCUCCACCCGUGGCCCAUCCCUUCGCGCUCAUCUCUGCUCUCCAGCCAUGCGCUCCGCAUCCUGCGUGGCCUCCAAGAGCAAAUCCAGCAUCACCUUAGGGAGCUGCGGAGGGAGGAUGGAGCCCAGGGGCCCACUGGCCAGAGGAAGAAGGAGCAUGAGCAGAGGUGGCAGCGAGAGCAGCUUUGCAUGGAGAAGGCAACAUCUCUGGGAGCCCUGAAGGAUCAGCUGAUCCAGAGACGGGGUGAACAGCAACACCUCCAUCCCACCUCCUCCCUGUCCAUGGGCACCGUGCCUGGCCUCCGACAGCGUGGCUGGGGGGUCCCUGGGGCUCCUGCACCAUCUCCAGUGCUGCGUGCAGGAGCUGCAGCAGGAGAAGACACACCACAUGGGCAGCCUGGGAAACCUGUGUGCCCCGGGAGGAGAGCUGAGCACCACAGCAAGAAUCAGGGUAUGGGUACAGCCUGGUAAAAGGGACUCAACUUCUGCCCCAGUCUUACACAUGCAAGAAGAGAAGAGCUGCACUGCAAAGCAUCCCUGGUAGAAAUAAGUCCUGCAGUGGGGUGAGGACACAAGGGUUUUGUUUCUAACCUAGAGACCAUGGGCAGAUAUCCCACCACCAUAAAUCUGUGAGUCACAGGGCUAGAGAUGCCAAGAUCAUUUGUUGAAGGCUGAGGGACAUGCUGGUGGGACCAUGGAGGUCGUAGGGAGCCCUCUCUUGGGUUUGCCUGGAUGAGGCACAGGCUUCCCUACACUCCUCUCCCCAUUCUGUGGCUUCUCCUCUGCUCUGCCCAACCUCCUAUCUCCUACCCUGGUAUGUAGCCAUGGGGCACAUCUCACAGAGAGUUUGGAGGUGACAUUGCCUUUUCUGUUCCACCACAAGGACAAAUAUUUUCAUGGAAGCUGGCUCUUUCUCUGCUGUGACAGAGGCUCCUGAUGGGCCCAAAUGCCACUGGUCCCCCCACACCUUGGCAUGAAUGGCAGGAACGAACAAGUGAUGCUGGCUGAGGGCACUGGAGAGAACUGGCAAGCCUAGACUUCUGCCAUUAAUAAGCUGGCUCCAUGAAGUGUCUGAGCAAGUGCCAAGGUAUGGGCAGGAGUGCAGAGACAGCACGCAGAGGCUGCGGUGUGGCCCAGGUGUUGCAGUCACGGUGUUGCAUCAACAUGCCGUGGACACAAUUGCAAAGCUCCUGCAGAUGCCUCAUUAGAAAGGGCUGGGUGGCUUGACCCUGGCAAGUGGCCCCAGGUGAGCAGGACCUGGCCGCGACGGCCAGCCCGGGGGCACUGACCCUGGGGUGGCCAAAGGCAGAGAUGUGUAAUGAAAACAACAAUGGGGAAUUGUUCUGUUUAGAUGCAUUAAUUUAAUUUUGAGAAGGAGAAACAUAUUUCUCAGUCUCUACACAUCUCACCAGAGAGAAUGUUGGGUUUAAUCUGCAGGAGAUUGUCCAGAGUCUCUCCGUGGGCAAGGGGGAAAAUGAAGAAUUUCUUGCAGUAAUUUAUUACUAAGACUCCUUCCACCGGAAGGGAGGAGAUGAGAAUUGAAAUAUCUGUAUGCUUUCUUUCCAAUUAAAAUAAAAGUGUUUUCAUUAUGUUUUUCUGCA